UCUGCUGUUGCUAAGAAAUAAGACUGAGUGAGUGAGUUGUAUUUAUGUUAUUAGCAAACAUUGAAAAUUCCAGAUUCCCCUCUGGAGUCCGGAGUUUGACUUCAGAAUCUAGAGAACCUCAUCAUUGCAUCAUACAGCACACAUGGAAUAAGAUGAGGGCAACAAAGAUCCCAUCUUCCAGCUGUUUGGGAAGAAUCACAGGAGAAAAACAAGGAGAGAAAAAUCUAAACCCAAUAGAAGAGAAAGUUUCAAGAAAGAGGUCGUCACUAAUACCAAAAUUAGCUACGAUAUUCAGGAAGAAAAAAGUGGAAACACGAUAACCACAUUCAAUAAAGACCAAGGCCAGCUUCCAUUAGCCAGAGCUCAGCCACGCGCCACACCUGGUUAAAGAGACUCUGGCUGAAGAAUUCCCUGAAUAUUUUAAUGUAGCUCUGGUUAUAACACAGAAUAACCACAAGGUGGCAGAAGAACUCCAUUCUUGUAAAUCUCUUAGUUGCUUCUUUAUUUCAUCUUCUCUAUUCUAUCUAAUGUUCCUUGAAUUUUACUAUUUUGUUGGUUUGAAAAUAUGUGUGACUUACGUCCUUUAAAGGAUUUGGUUCCUAAAGUUUUAAAUAGACUGGAAUAUAAAACAUUUAUAGAAAAGGAAAAUAACUACCGUAUGAUGUUAGUGAAUUAUUAAUAAUUAAUCCAAUUAAAAUAUAUUUGCUUUGGAUUAAUAUUUAUUUUGUUUUGAUGUUUGCUAAAUAAAACUAAGCAUUAGGAGGUCAAAUAGCCACAACGAACAUUUUCAUAUUAUUUAAUAAGCCAGUUUCAAGGCAUACAUGCUAAAUUUGUUCUUAAGGAAAAGUUGAAUUUUUGCUUUCAUGAAAUUACAAACUCUAAGGCAAUUGUAUACCUGUAAAUCCAAUGUGUUCUGAAGUUUAAAGUGUCAAAGGCUGUUGGAUUUAAACAGAUCUUGUAUGACUCUCUGUUUCAUCUCUUCAGAGGUUGAUAGUAAGCAAGUUUGGCAGCAACUCGCAUCUUCUGCUGUAACAUGAGGCUAAUAAUGACGACUUUAUACGGUUGUUGCAAAGAGUCAGUGAUGCCACAAGCAACGUUCUUUAUAUAUGCAGAAUUUUAAAAAUAAAGUAAAUAGAAAUAUUCCUUCCUCUA